AGAGGGUUGACCGAGUGGCUAAGGAGCUCGCCUGGAACGCGAGUAAGGCGUAACAGCCCCGCGGGUUCGAAUCCCGUGCCCUCUGCCA
rnacentral:tRNA from 1 species